rnacentral:rRNA from 1 species
UACGUAGGGGGCUAGCGUUGUCCGGAAUCAUUGGGCGUAAAGAGCGCGCAGGCGGUCGGAUAAGUCGAAUGUGAAAGCCCCUGGCUCAACCAGGGAGGGUCAUUCGAUACUGUUCGACUCGAAGGCAGGAGAGGGAAGUGGAAUUCCGGGUGUAGUGGUGAAAUGCGUAGAUAUCCGGAGGAACACCAGUGGCGAAGGCGACUUUCUGGCCUGUUCUUGACGCUGAGGCGCGAAAGCUAGGGGAGCAAACGGG